GUCAUGUCUUAGUGAAUCGUAAAACAACAUCCUAUUGAAUACGUCAUAUAGUAUAAAAAAGAAGAUGUGGUAUGAUUGCCAAUGAGACAACUAUCCACAAAAGACCAAAAUGACACAGACAUUAACAACUAUAGGUCACUGUACAGCCUUCAACCAUAAGCAAAGUCCAUACCGCAUAGUCAGCUAUAAAAGGCCUUGAUAACACAAUGUAAAACAAUUCAAAUGAGAAAACUAACGGCCUUAUUUA
rnacentral:lncRNA from 1 species